rnacentral:rRNA from 1 species
CUACGGGUGGCUGCAGUGAGGAAUAUUGCACAAUGGGGGGAACCCUGAUGCAGCAACGCCGCGUGGAGGAUGACGCAUUUCGGUGUGUAAACUCCUUUUAUAUGUCAAGAAAAUGACGGUAGCAUAUGAAUAAGCACCGGCUAACUCCGUGCCAGCAGCCGCGGUAAUACGGGAGGGUGCAAGCGUUACUCGGAAUCACUGGGCGUAAAGGACGCGUAGGCGGGUUGGAAAGUCAGGUGUGAAAUCCUACAGCUUAACUGUAGAACUGCACUUGAAACUUCUAAUCUAGAGUAUGGGAGGGGGAGAUGGAAUUAGUGGUGUAGGGGUAAAAUCCGUAGAUAUCACUAGGAAUACCUAAAGCGAAGGCGAUCUCCUGGAACAUUACUGACGCUAAGGCGUGGAAGCGUGGGGAGCAAACAGGAUUAGAUACCCUGGUAGUC